CCCAGUGGCGAAGGCGGCUGUGUGGUCUGUAACUGACGCUGAGGCUCGAAAGUAUGGGUAGCAAACAGGAUUAGAUACCCUGGUAGUCCAUACCGUAAACGAUGAAUGCUAAGUGUUGGAGGGUUUCCGCCCUUCAGUGCUGCAGCUAACGCAUUAAGCAUUCCGCCUGGGGAGUACGGCCGCAAGGCUGAAACUCAAAGGAAUUGACGGGGGCCCGCACAAGCGGUGGAGCAUGUGGUUUAAUUCGAAGCUACGCGAAGAACCUUACCAGGUCUUGACAUACUAUGCAAAUCUAAGAGAUUAGACGUUCCCUUCGGGGACAUGGAUACAGGUGGUGCAUGGUUGUCGUCAGCUCGUGUCGUGAGAUGUUGGGUUAAGUCCCGCAACGAGCGCAACCCUUAUUAUCAGUUGCCAGCAUUAAGUUGGGCACUCUGGUGAGACUGCCGGUGUCACACCGGAGGAAGGUGGGGAUGACGUCAAAUCAUCAUGCCCCUUAUGACCUGGGCUACACCCGUGCUACAAUGGAUGGUACAACGAGUUGCGAACUCGCGAGAGUAAGCUAAUCUCUUAAAGCCAUUCUCAGUUCGGAUUGUAGGCUGCAACUCGCCUACAUGAAGUCGGAAUCGCUAGUAAUCGCGGAUCAGCAUGCCGCGGUGAAUACGUUCCCGGGCCUUGUACACACCGCCCGUCACACCAUGAGAGUUUGUAACACCCAACAGUCGGUGG
rnacentral:rRNA from 2 species